rnacentral:rRNA from 1 species
GAUGAACGCUGGCGGCGUGCUUAACACAUGCAAGUCGAACGAAGCAUUUGCGACAGUUUUUUUCGGAAUGAAGUUGAUCAUGACUGAGAGGCGGACGGGUGAGUAACGCGUGGGUAACAUGCCUUGUAGUGGGGGAUAGUAGCUGGAAACGGCUGGUACUACCGCAUAAGCGCACAAUGUUGCUUUACAUGGUUGGGAAAGCUCCGGUGGUAUAAGAUGGACCCGCGUCUGUUUUGCUAGUUGGUGAGGUAACAGGCCACCAAGGCGACGAUCAGUAGCCGGCGUGAGAGGGUGACCGGCCAGAUUGGGACUGGGACACGGCCCAGACGCCUACGAGAGGCAGGAAUGGGGAAAAUUGCACAAUAGAGGAAACUCUGAUGCGGCGACGCCGCGAGAGUGAAGAAGUAAUUCGAAAUGUAAAGCGCUAGCAACAGGGAAGAUAGGAACGGUACCUGUCAAAAAAGCCCCGGCAACUUACUU